GUAUCUCACUGUGGUUUCGACUCACGUUUCCCUGACGGCUAAUGCUGAAUUGAUACUGAUGGAAGAUUUUUUCCGCCUUGGAAAGACAAAGAUGGUUCCGAUGGUUUGGUGCUCCAUCUAGUGGAUGUGAGUUGAAUACUCCCUGUGGCAAGAUGACCAAAGCCUGGGCGUUUCACAGCUUCAGAGGAGGCUAAAGGGAGUUUCUCAAAGUGUGGUCAGGAGUCUCCUGGAGAUCGCUAACAUCACUUAGGGAGUCUAGGAGUCAAAAUUAUUUUCAGAAUACUGAUGAGACUGGUGCCUAUGUUAACAAUGCGAGUUUUUGCUACUGUGAUAUUUGGUAAUAGAAUUUGGAAGAUUUGUGUAAAUUAGUGAACUCUUAUUUUCCAAAUGGCCAACACAUGAUGUUACAAAAUCAUCUAUGGGUAAAAGAUCCAUCCAGAGUGCAAGAGAGAUCAAAGGGUUUUAGUGUAACAGGGUGCGAGACGGGCGUUGGCAUGGUCAGAUGCCACACUGCAACUAAUCUUUGAGGUAUUACCAGACAGCGUUUGAGUGUAGUGACAGAGAAGACUUCACAAUUAUUGGAGAAGCCUGUUAAGAUCGCCCCCUCUUCUCCAACUCUGUACGUGCUUGAGACUGCAUUUUCAUCACAUCUUUCAACCAAAAUUUGGACUCCAACAAAUCGAAUGUGGAAACACACACCUGACUGUCUUCUCUUAAGCCAAACGUUGAACAGAUUUGCAAAAAUCUAAGAGUGCCACUCUACUGAGUUUUUGGUUUUCAAUAAUAUAGUUAUUUUAUGUUAACAAUGGGUUAAUUUUUGUUACUUUCUUUCUUUUUUUUUCUUUUUGAGGAAGACUGGCCCUGGGCUAACAUCUGUGCCCAUCUUCCUCUACUUUCUAUGUGGGAUGCUGCCACAGCAUCGCUUGAUAAGUGGUGCUAGGUCUGUGCCCGGUAUCUGAACUGGCGAACCCCAGGCCGCCAAAGCGGAAUGUGCAAACUUAACUGCUGCACCACCAGGCCAGCCCAAUUUUUGUUACUUUAAAAUGAGUAAAUAAAUAAAUAUUAUAAAAAUUUCUCAGUUUAAAUUCCCAGUGUGGCAAAUAAAGAUAGAUAGAACCCACAUAAAUAAAAGCUGUUUGGGAUAUUUUCAUGGGUGCAUAGGAGUCCAAAACGUUGAAC
rnacentral:lncRNA from 1 species